rnacentral:rRNA from 1 species
UAUUUGGAGAGUUUGAUCCUGGCUCAGAUUGAACGCUGGCGGCAUGCCUAACACAUGCAAGUCGCACGCGAAAGGGGGCAACCCUGAGUAGAGUGGCGGACGGGUGAGUAACGCGUAGGAAUCUACCUCGUAGUGGGGGACAACCCGGCGAAAGCCGGGCUAAUACCGCAUACGAUCCAUGGAUGAAAGCAGGGGACCGCAAGGCCUUGCGCUAUGAGAUGAGCCUGCGUCGGAUUAGCUAGUUGGUGAGGUAAAGGCUCACCAAGGCGACGAUCCGUAGCUGGUUUGAGAGAACGACCAGCCACACUGGGACUGAGACACGGCCCAGACUCCUACGGGAGGCAGCAGUGGGGAAUAUUGGACAAUGGGGGCAACCCUGAUCCAGCAAUGCCGCGUGUGUGAAGAAGGCCUUCGGGUUGUAAAGCACUUUCA